UGAAUAAACCCCCACAGGUGACCAGACGGUCAUUCCUCUCAUGUUGAUAAUCUGUUUACAUCAAAAUAUUGUUUACUCAGCUCUCUGAUCUUGAGGAAUCUACAUGGAGCUGAAAGAAUACAGUUAACUCCCCACACUCUGACACACAAAAUGACCUAAGGAAUCCGUAUUUCUGAAUACUAACCAGGAAGCUGGAGCUGUUCCUCGGUUCUGCAGAUGAAUGAGUGGUCCCUUCUAUAAACAUUUUGCUGUUACAAGCCACCUCUGGAGCUAAAAUGAAGUUCAGCUUCUGCGUGCACCUCACCUUGGAGCACUCUGGCCAGAGGGAAAACUCCAGCCAGCCUCUGACCCCCACCUGCCAGACACCGGC